rnacentral:rRNA from 1 species
UACGUAGGUGACAAGCGUUGUCCGGAUUUACUGGGCGUAAAGAGCGCGCAGGCGGUCGAUCAAGUCGAGUGUGAAAGCCCCCGGCUCAACUGGGGAGGGUCAUUCGAUACUGAUCGACUCGAAGGCAGGAGAGGGUAGUGGAAUUCCCGGUGUAGUGGUGAAAUGCGUAGAUAUCGGGAGGAACACCAGUGGCGAAAGCGACUCUCUGGGACGGUACUGACGCUGAGACACGAAAGCUUGGGGAGCAAACAGG